rnacentral:ncRNA from 1 species
UAAGCGGAAUCCGAAAAGCUAGUAGAGUAGGAA